CACGCAGUAAACGAUGAUGACUAACCGCCGGCGAUAUACGGUCGGAGGCCAAGCGAAAGCGAUAAGUCAUCCACCUGGGGAGUACGACCGCAAGGUUGAAACUCAAAGGAAUUGACGGGGGCCCGCACAAGCGGAGGAACAUGUGGUUUAAUUCGAUGAUACGCGAGGAACCUUACCCGGGCUCGAACGGGCCGGAAAAGCGCGGGAGACCGCGCGUCGCAGCAAUGCGGCCGGCCCGAGGUGC
rnacentral:rRNA from 1 species